rnacentral:rRNA from 1 species
AGUAAGGAAUAUUGGACAAUGGGGGAAACCCUGAUCCAGCCAUGCCGCGUGAGUGAUGAAGGCCUUCGGGUUGUAAAGCUCUUUUAGAUGUGACGAUGAUGACGGUAACAUCAGAAAAAGCUCCGGCUAACUUCGUGCCAGCAGCCGCGGUAAUACGAAGGGAGCGAGCGUUGUUCGGAAUUACUGGGCGUAAAGCGUGCGUAGGCUGUUUUAUAAGUCAGAAGUGAAAGCCUGGGGCUUAACCUCAGAAUUGCUUUUGAGACUGUAAAACUAGAAUCCUGGAGAGGUUAGUGGAAUUCCGAGUGUAGAGGUGAAAUUCGCAGAUAUUCGGAGGAACACCAGUGGCGAAGGCGACUAACUGGACAGGCAUUGACGCUGAGGCACGAAAGCGUGGGGAUCAAA